GGAUGUCAGGGUGAUCUGGCUUCGACAUCUGUCACCCCAUCGCCAUUGAUGGCCAGGGUUGACUCAGCUGAUCUAGCUGGCUAGGUGGGUGUCCCUCACCGCUCCAAGUGCAUCCCUCCUGACCCUGUGCACUCAGUCGAAGAGGACAACCUUCCCUGAUAGAGGAGGACCGUUCUUCAGUCAAGGGUAUACGAGUAACUGCGCUCCCCUGCUAGAACCUCCAAAAACAAAAAGGAGUGGCCAGUCCUGUCAAUGUCACUGAAGGGGGUAAGGUGAGGUCUGGCUGAGUAGCAGCCACCAGAUUCAAAGACACGGGCUGCUGGUGACCUU
ensembl:misc_RNA 7SK 7SK RNA